GGAGCCCUCGCGCUGCCUCAGACUCUCUUUGCUGGAACUUCUCCUCUUGCUCCAAUGCCGACUCUACAUUCAGCCCGGCCGCUCUGGCAGAUGAAGAUCUAGGGGCUGCUUCAGGCUCUCAGCAGCAGAGAUGGGAGAUGGCUGGAAAAUCAUCAUGGCGGUCUGGUCUGAAUGGAGAAGAUGAGGAAAGAGAACGUCUAUAACAAAGGUGACAUCACUGGAUGUAAGAGGGGUUAUCAUGAUCAGACCCUCCAACCAGGAUCAUUAGCAGUUCUGAGGAUGGACGAUGACAAGAGUAAUGUGACUGAGAGGAUACUAAAUCUUACCUUGGAGAUCCUCUACCUGCUGACUGGAGAGGAUUACAUACCUCUAAAGAAGGCUGAGAAGGAGCUUGUCGCAGUGACUUCACCUCAUUCAUUGAUACAUGAGCAGAAGAUCCUCAAACUAACCAACAAUAUUGUGGAGCUGCUGACUGGAGAGGUUCCUAUAAGGUGUCAGGAUGUCACUGUCUAUUUUUCUAUGGAGGAAUGGGAGUAUUUAGAAGGACAGAAAGAUCUCUACAAAGACAUUAUAGAGAUUCGCCAGACCCUCAUUUCAUUGGGUGAGUCUAGUAAGAAGGAAACACCAGAGAGAUGUCCUAGUCCAAUUUAUGAUGAAGAUGCAAUAAAGGAAAAUAAGAACACCUCACAAGUUUACAAGGAGGGUGAUCUGAAUAUUGUGUUUAUGGAUAUUGAUCCAGAGAAUGAAGAUGAAUUAUUAGAUGUGAAGGUUAAGGAAGAAGAAAUACCUAUUGGUAUCAGCCUGGGCAGAGACGACAGUGGGGGCAGCAUAAAGGAUUGUACAAUUCCACCCAGUGAAAUCGAAGAUGGAGAUGUCGCACAAGAUUCUUCAAACACCAGUAAAGCAAAUAUAGGUUCACCAUCAACUAAUGAAUCUUCUGAUUCGUCCAAACAUAGAGAACAUGUUCCUGAGAUUGCUACAUUUAAAGUUGGCUACAGAAGUGACAACAUGUAUGCCUGUUCUGAAUGUGGCAAAGGUUUUUCCAAAAAAGAUAAAUUCAUCAUUCACAUGAGAGUCCACACCGGUGAGAAACCAUAUACCUGUCCCGAGUGUGGAAAACGCUUUACACAAAAAGCUAACCUGAUAGCUCAUCAAAAGACACACACAGGCGAAAGGCCGUUUUCGUGCACUGAGUGCGGCAAAGACUUUACCUGUAAAUCAACACUUGUUAAACACUGGAGAAUACACACGGGCGAGAAGCCCUUCUCAUGUUCUAACUGUGGAAAAUGUUUUACCUACAAAUCCCAUCUUUUAGAACACCAAAGAAUUCACACAGGUGAAAAACCUUUCUCCUGCUCCAAGUGUGGCAAGUCUUUUAGACACAAGUCCCAUGUCAUUGGCCACCAGCGGGUCCACACCGGUGAGAAGCCCUUCACUUGCUCAAAGUGUGGUAAAUGUUUUACACAGGAAUCAAGUCUGGCCUAUCAUCAGAGGAUCCACACAGGAGAGAAACCAUUUAACUGCCCUGAAUGUGGAAAGUGCUUCACCUAUAAGUCUACUCUCGUGAAACAUCUGGUAAUCCAUUCUGGAGAAAAGCCAUAUUCCUGCUUGCACUGUGACAAGAGCUUUACCCAGAGGUCCAUACUCAAUGAACAUCAGAAAAAUCACACAGGAGAGCGGCCUUUUGUGUGCUCCAUGUGUGGAAGGGCAUUUACUCGCAAGUCUAAUAUGUUAAAACAUCAGAUCACACACACAGGGGAGAAACCGUACAAGUGUGCAGAGUGCGGAAAUAGCUUUACACAGAAGGCAAGUCUUGUCAAACACCAGAAACUUCAUUCUGCACAGGACUGAAAAGAAGGAACUUAGACAUCUUUUGAUGUUUUUUUUUUUUGCCUGUAUUGUCUUAAUUUUACUAUGACAUAUUGACCGAAAAUAUUUAUUUGCCUUAAAGGGGUUUUCUGGGAUUUCUAACAGAGAUGCUCAUUUAGUGGUUUUCUUCAUGCUUUUUUUUUUCAAUUUGGACUCUCCAGACCCAUUCUCACCAUGUAAAUAAAUCACUCAGUUUUUUUACAUCCUGUAUAUAGCACUUUCUGAUGCUGUAUUCAACCAUACCCAAAAUGCACUUCCACAGCUCCAGCACCGCCACUAACAACACCCAGCUAGUUUACAGCUCCUCCCACCAGCUAGUUACGUAGACACUCCAAUGGGUUUGGCUGGGGCAGGUUUAAAUGCCCUAAAUUUACACUUAUCAAUGAAAAUAUAAGUAUGCAAAUGUAGCCUCAGGAAUAGACUAACACUACAUUGUUGAAAAUUCCAAAUGCAUCCUCUACGGUAGUCUACUGCAUGGAAGAACAUAAUAAAUGUAGUCUCUGCCGUGGUCUAGGAUCACAGUGGCGACCAGGCCAGAUGUUGCUUCAACAGUAGUAUAAGACCCCAUCCUGAACUGUGCCAAAUAUUGCCCUAAUGCUUAUAGGAGAGGAGAGAACACUAGGUUGAACUGCAAGUCAGGGGAGGACAAGGGGCUGCUCACCUUGUUUUGUUGUGCAGAGCACCUAAUGGCUAAUAUUGCAUAAAGUGAAGAUUGUCACCGCUGCUGCUCAUCAUCCCUUAGUUCCAUAGAAAAUCUGGUCUACACAAGAAGAUGCUGAAGAAAAUGAAAGGGAUCGCCAGCGGUGCUGCGGACAGAAGGUACCGAGGAGCUGGAUGAAGAAAACUCUUUAUUGGUGACAAACUGUUUCGGGAUCGGACCAAUCGCUUCAUCAGCUUCUAAAACUUUGGGAUGAAAACGCUGUAAGUGUCUUUUCAAAUUUGAUGCUCUUGUAGGUGCAUUUUUAUCAGGCCCACUGAAACUGCUAAUUUUUGCAUCACAUUGUUUUUCACCAUCAUCUUUUCUACUAAUACAUUGGCACACGUAAUGUUUUCCAUCACUUGAUAAUGCAAAGUGCUCAUAAACAGUAGACUUUGUCAUGUUUGUUGUUGACAGUCUUUUUGCCAUUGUUUAGGAUGCCUCUUUCACUAAAAUAUAAAAUGUUAUACUAACUGGCAUAAAAUGAGAUUUUUAAUAUCAACAUACACUGUCUUGUAAGUUGUACGUAUAUGGCUUUAUACAUACAAAUAAGCUAUAUAGCCCAGCACUAAAUCUAGACACGAUUUGUCCUAUACAGAAAAUCCAUGCACAGACAUGUACUGUACACACACAACACAGAGCCUAAAUUUUAGUACUCAGGGCAUAUAAACAAUCUGCACUACACAUAAACAUUCAUACAUUCCUGCACCACACUUACAGACCUACAGUUUCCUCCAGAAACAUGUGCACACAGGCUUCCCUCAUACAGACAAGCAGGCGCAGCUAUGAAGUUUCCUCCAGAAACAUGUGCACACAGUCUUCCCUCAUACAACAAAGCAGGCGCAGCUAUGCAGUUUCCUCCAGAAACAUGUGCACACAGUCUUCCCUCAUACAACAAAGCGGGCGCAGCUAUGCAGUUUCCUCCAGAAACAUGUACACACAGUCUUCCCUCAUACAACAAUUGCGUAUUGGUUGCCUAGAGGAGACGGGAGAAGGCGUCCUCCGCUACCUUGAAAAACCAGAACCACUAAUACCUGGACUGCCUCCACCUCCAACUAUUGAACAGCGGAUGGUAAGUGGAGGCCAAACCGCCCUGGUCUAUAGCCCGACUAUAGUGACCUACCAGCUUCCCUGGAAGUCUCGACCACAAUUUGUGAAAGAGGGCCAUUGGACCCACCUACCGAUCUGCUUGCAGCCAGAGGUUCUGGAUCAUCUUAGUAUGGCAGGAGAAUCCGCUCUAAAUUAAGCAGUAGAUCACGGUGGCCGUGAAGAGCACCACCACCGGGACCUUACCCAGGAGCGACAGUAGGUGUCGCCAAAGCACCACUGUUGAGGCAAGGAUGAGAUACCAGAGGCAGGAUCAACCUCUCUUCCAGUUCAGCAGCUCAAGCAGUGAGGAGGACCUGAAAUCCCUCCUCUGAAGAGCUGCUCCUUCUCAAGAUGUUUAAUUAAAGAACUACUGACUACUGCGUCUGAAAAGUGAGGACUUGUUGGCAUGUUUUAUAUGUUUUCUUUUUGUAGGUUGCCCUUGGUUUUAGCCCUCACCCGGAUGGCUAUGUGAGUAAGGACUCCCCUCAUCUUCAUUUAUCUCCCGUUUGCGCGUAACAGCGCCAAAAAUCCCCCCCCCCCAUUUCAAGUUAUUUGUGAGCCUCUUCUCAUGACCUGUGCUGCUGUUCUAUUAUUACCCAUGUGGAUUACACAUGACUUUGUGCCUUAUGUGGAUAACAAAUAUCGCCUCAUUUGGAUUACAAAUAAUGACAUUACUGUUCCCAUGGAUUACAAAUGACUUUAUUGCACGUUAGUUCCAGUUCAGUGCACUUUACCUUCAAGAAUGGACUUUAAUGUGAUUUUGCUAUUGCACUGUUUUAUUGUAUUAACAGUGUGCCUUAUUGAUUUGCACUAACCUUUUGAAUUUUCAGCAACGUUACAAGUACUGUGCCCAUUGUGUGUAUUCUCUUUCAGGUACAAUGUGAUAUUAUAUGCCUAUCUUGUAUGGUUUAUGGUCUUUGCACUUUAUUCAGAUCACCAGAUAGUCAGCACUCAGUUGCUUAGUUAUUAUGAACUGCCUCUGAGGAUGUCUGGCACGUCAGAAGCAGAUCUAACAUCGCUGUUGCUCUUUAUUGACUGCCUCUGAGGAUGCAGAAUACUAAUGGUUCCUGAGUGACAUAGCCUAUUGGUACACCAGAGAAACCAAGUGGUAAAGUCACAAGCAGGUCUAAUAUCGUUAACCCCUUCCCGACCAGAGCCAUAAUAGUACGGCGCUGCCCGGGUCUUUAAAGAUUGCGCCUGCUCCUGAGCGCUUCAGGCGCCAUAGCCACGGGUGGCCGCCUGCUUCUUAUAGCAGACACCUGCGGCUCAUGUCCGCAAACGGCAAUAAUGUCGAAUGUGGACAUUUAACCCCUCAGAUGCUGUGGUCAAUCCUGACCACGGCAUCUGAGCGCGCUGAAAACCAAAAGUGCCCGCUUCCGGUGGUGCUUCGGCUCCUCAGUGUGGCGAUCGGAGGAGCCGGAGCUUGUGUGCAGCAGCCCCUGUCUUUGUGAAUGACAGGAGGCUGCUGCAUAGCAUUUCCUAUGGAGCCCUUGCCUGUAAUAGGACUCCAUAGGAAACAAGCAAUUUUCUCAUAGAUUCUCAUAGAGUCUAUGAGAAAAGCAAACUAAUGCUAUGUGAACAGAAAAAUAAAAAAGUUAUGGCUCUGGGAAGGCAGGGAGCACAAAACGUAAACGGAAAAAAAUAUAUUAAAAAAUUCUGGGGUUAAGGGUAACACGCUGCUAUUAUGUAUGGAGAGAUUGGAGUGCCUAGCCUCAUCCUCUUAGUGUAUAUGUUGUGUUUAGCCAACAUUUAUUUAGUCCUAAGGCCUUGCGCACCGCCUUAAGGAAAAAAUGUGCAGUUAGCUACCGGUGUAAUAAUCAAGGUGACCUUGCGAAAAGCUAUAUACAGACCUUGGUGUUUGGAAGGGAAUACAGGAUGAAGCCAGCCUUGUAUUUGUGGGUGUUUCAUUGCAUAGUGGUGGGAUUACAGAGUGAAGACACCACCACACUUUCUUUGGUACUAGAGCUCAGUAUAUUCAAAAGAAAGCCAGGAAUGAGUGGUUUUUGCAGACCUUUUGGUUCUCUGGUUUAUACCGAGAGGGAAACUGUGAAUGGGCACCCUACUCAUACGCGCAGAGACCUAGUGGUAGCCGUUCCUACAUCAGUCAAUAAUAGUCUAUAUUCUCAUGCAGCACUCUAACCUUCCUUGGGUACCCUUAGAGCACACCCUAAGCACAAGCCGAGGGCGGGUUGGUUCUUAAGUGCCGGGGAAUGUAACGCCCCAGAGUGGCAUUACCACUUUUACACCCUGCUUCUAUCUGUGUAUGCUGGUGUCAACCUGUGUAUUUAUUGCCAGGUCCUGCAUAAUGUGGAUCUGUAUUUCUGAUUUUGUAACUGUUUAAGUGUAAUGUACCUGGUCCACCAGCAGAUGGCGGCAUCUAUGGCAGAGCUGUGUUAGCUAGAAUGGAACCCUCCUUCCAUUCUGGCCCCCCUCUCUAGAGAGGCAGGAGUUCAGCUAGUUAGAGUUUAGUUUAGUUUAGAGUACCCCCUGCAAGGGAAAGGGUGUGUUUAAGCCAACAGAGCACAUCCUCAGCACCGCUGGGCCUAGAGGCCCAAGCUGCAAGCUUCAGAAGCCAGGAGGAGAAGUUCCCUGGAUAAAGAUAAAGACAGAGUCAGACUACCAAGCUAAGUUCAGCAGAAAGGAAAAGUUUCUAUUCAAUCGUGAUAGCACAGCAAAGCCGAAUGUGUUUACCUGCCAGAACUUAUGCCAAAGCUUGCUGACAACCAAGAUAAAGCUGGAAGAUUUUUCUCUGAUGCAAGUUUAUUCAAGUAAAGCUGUUAUCAUAUACAAAGUCUGGACUCAAUCAUUUCUACAAAUCCCUCAACUAUUCCCCCUGUUUGCACUGCUUCAGACAACAACGCCUGGGGUUCCAGGAUAUCCAGGUAGGAGCACUGUGACACGUGCACAUCCACAACACCUAAAGGUUCAUUAUAGGCUACCCUUGCCCCACUCUGGCAUUCCUACAGCUAGGUACCACCAACACAAUUUACUCAAGGGGACUCCGUUCCCUGUUGCUGAAAUGCAACUGGCGUCACAACAAAACUUUCAUUUUAAGGGACCCCUGGUAGUACCCCGUCCGUUGCACACAUAUGUUGGGAUGCAGGCAUCUUGCUUCUCAGGCUGGAUGAAGCCAUUUUGUUUUUUUUUUCAGUUUGGGAACAUAAGACACUGUAGGGGACAUUACUAUGGGCACUGGGGGCAUUUUGAAUACUGUCUACACUAUGGGGAAAUUUUUAAAUACUGGUGGAACUAUGGCAGCAUUAUUAUUACAGGAGGCAACUGGGGGGGGGGUUUGGAAUAAUGGGUACUAUAAGGGGCAUUAUUAGGGCCCUAUGCUAUUAGAGGGGCAUUACUGGGGGCAUUCUUAAUGGGGGUGCUACAGGAAGCAUUCCUAUCAUUAGGAGCAUUAUAACUAAUGGGUCACUAUUUUUCUGCAGUACAGUAUUUGGGGUUUUAGUGAGCUCAGCAGGGACCGUAUGAGGGUUGGCAGUAUGAUGGGAAGUUUGUGCUGAGUGAGAAGGUGAGGAAAAUAAUGGAAAAAUAAGAAACCUAAGAUGUCUGUGUGGCAAACUCUGCAGAGAAUUAAAGUCGUCAUGGUGGUCUAGUCUGAAUGGGGAGGAUAAUGAAAGAAAACAUCUAUGUCAGAGCUAAAAUCACUGGAUGUAAGUCCUGCGUAGUACUGUAUUCUCCUGUAUGUUUCGCAGCACUGAAAGACCAGGCAACAUGCUGAAGUACGGCUGGCUUGGUGCUGUGGCCCAAAUAUAACCUCCCCCAUAUCUUAGUUACAGACACACCGAGGGGAAGCUUCUGGGGAGGUAUUUUGUGCUGCUCUCUGGUAUUUGGCUCAGCUGGGACAGUACAUUGUAUAUUCUUUGUGAAUCUAUAUAUAUGUUCUGUGACCUGUGCAAAGGUCAAGAUCUGUUGCCAUCUGUUAUGAAUGCUGGAUCCUGUGUUAUGUAAUCUAUCUAUCCAUCAAUUUGAUAUUUGUCAUCCUAACGGUGCCUGUAAUGAUAAGCAGGUAACUGCAGUAAAGUGAUCUGUACAGACCAAGAAGUGGCACCUAUUAUU